rnacentral:misc_RNA from 1 species
AACGCACAUUGCGCCCUUUGGUAUUCCGAAGGGCAUGCCUGUCUGAGCGUCAAUAAAUCAAUCAAACCUUGGUUUGGUAUUGGGAGAAGAGGUUUUGCCUCUCUCCUUUAAGCUAUUGGCGACGCUAUUUCAGCUUGUAAGACGUAGUAAGUAAUUUCUCGUUAAAGCAACUGUAUGGCUGUCUGCCAAAUGAACGAUUUAUUUUACAGCUUGACCUCAGAUCAGGUAGGGAUACCCCCUGAACUUAA